rnacentral:rRNA from 1 species
AACGAACGCUGGCGGCAUGCCUAACACAUGCAAGUCGAACGAAGCCUUCGGGCUUAGUGGCGCACGGGUGCGUAACGCGUGGGAAUCUGCCCCUCGGUUCGGAAUAACAGUUAGAAAUGACUGCUAAUACCGGAUGAUGACGAAAGUCCAAAGAUUUAUCGCCGAGGGAUGAGCCCGCGUAGGAUUAGCUUGUUGGUGGGGUAAUGGCCCACCAAGGCGACGAUCCUUAGCUGGUCUGAGAGGAUGAUCAGCCACACUGGGACUGAGACACGGCCCAGACUCCUACGGGAGGCAGCAGUGGGGGAUAUUGGACAAUGGGCGAAAGCCUGAUCCAGCAAUGCCGCGUGAGUGAUGAAGGCCUUAGGGUUGUAAAGCUCUUUUACCAGGGAUGAUAAUGACAGUACCUGGAGAAUAAGCUCCGGCUAACUCCGUG